GACGAACGCUGGCGGCGUGCUUAACACAUGCAAGUCGAACGGAGUGGCGAACAGGUGAGUAACACGUGGGUGACCUGCCCUGCACUUCGGGAUAAGCCUGGGAAACUGGGUCUAAUACCGGAUAGUGUGGGAUGGGCCCGCGGCCUAACAGCGUGUUGGUGGGGUAAUGGCCUACCAAGGAGGCGACGGGUAGCCGGCCUGAGAGGGUGGAGGGCCACAUGGUGACUGAGAAACGGCCCAGACUCCUACGGGAGUCAGCAGUGGGGAAUAUGGCACAAUGGGCGGAAGCCUGAUGCAGGGACGCCGCGUGGUUGAAUAAGGCCUGAGGGUUGUAAAGGACUUUCAGCGGGUAGGAGGUUAAUACCCUUGUCAAUUGAGGUUACUCGCAGAAGAAGCACCGGCUAACUCCGUGCCAGCAGCCGCGGUAAUAC
rnacentral:rRNA from 1 species